UAGAAGCCUGGAGCCAAUCGACGAAGCCAACACAGGCAACGAGCCUGAACAAACUGUAGCUGUUGUUAGACCUUUCAGUGAACAAAGCCUUGCGAAUCCUCGCUCGAUAUCAGAAAUAACGAACAGACUGAGUCCUCUGAACCCGUCUGAUCGUUGCUGUCGACGCCGUAACUCAAUGGUCGUUAACGCGAAUGUCAACGCCUUAUUAAGACGUCAACUCGCUAACAGCUGUUUCGAACCAGAUCGGGUUGCCUGCAGUAGGACGCCACACUUUACUGAUGAAUCCGUUGCCAAACAGAUAUAGUAAACACAUAUGCGGCUGCUUAAAGCAAGUUUUAAGUAUACGAAUUAAAAUUGGCAAAAAAUACACUUCGUGCCCGACAAACGUCGAUCUGCGAAACGGUUAUGAAGAAUUUUUCUGACAGUUUGAGACAUUCAUCGCUUGAACGCCUCAAAGCAUCUACUUGAAUAUAUUGGAUAGUGUUUAAAUAGAGGAACGAAUGGUAAGCUCUGUCUCGGUCGACCAUAGCACCAACGACAUAUCACUGUUUUCAACGAGAACAAACAUCUAUUUUUGCGGUACAAUCAGUGUAACUGAAGUGUCAGUUCGUUGACUGAAGACCAUUUUUCUAGCAACAGAUUAAGACGGGCUACAUUAGAAGAGUCGAACUUGUACUGCCUUGUAUGCCGGAGCAGAAUCGUCAGUGGUCUUAGGUUCAUGCUGCAGCUAAUAAACGUUACUUAGGUGUUCCGACGGCACAGUGGAUGAAAGACAGAAUACAUUCGAGCAGCAAACGGCUACGUGAUCAACUGAAACGCGAGUGCCCUAUCCUGGAGGCCAAUGCCCUCGAUUCAAGGCGAAGAAUGGGUGAACACGAAACUUCAAGACACGAAGCCCCUAUGUGAAGGAGCUACUACUAUAUUAUAUAUUACGUGAAGCGUCGCUAUAAUAGUAAAAUGUAUCAAAAAUUAUCAGUAUAUCGCCACGGGCUUGAAUAGUUUAUAUUCACACUCAUCGAACUGUUUUCACGUGUUUUUGUAUGAAAUAAAUUAGCUAUCGAUUUGGUGACGGUUUGUUCAUGGUCCGUCCGGUUACGAUACACUACAAGAAAAUACGAUCUUUUUCAAUUGCCGUUAGUUAUACGAUGAGGACAAGAGAAUUGUAUUGUUGGAUCUUCAAGGGCAGGAUUUCCUUGAUUUUCAGUAUCCUCUAUUUAGCUUUUUACAACCAAUCUGUGUAUGUCAAGUCAAGAAGUAGAAAUGGAACCAAAAACAAUAACACACCAUUUCUUCAACGUUAUUUUUAUUUCUUAUUUUGCGUAUAACUAAAGGCACGCUUUAUCGCUGAAUUUGUUUGUUUUGUUUAUAGAUCCAAAAUUUAUUCAUAUGAUGAAGAACCUAUGUACAUACAUCUUAUAUUCGAUUAGGUAAAAUCAACAAAAUAAGGAAUAGCCCUAUCAAAAAUCGAUACAAAUAGAUGACAUAGUUUCCACAGAUUAACACUAACUUUUCAAAAACAGUUAACCCAAUUUAGUAGGACGAAGACGCGGAAGGGCGAUCAAUUUCAUUAUUAGAUUUUACGCAAUUGUUCAAAAUUCAGAACAAUUAAUUAUCUAAAUAAAAAACAUAUCUAUUACUUGAACAGUUUUAAUAAAACCGUCACCGUGAGUCAAUAUCUGCAUGUACCGAUCCUCAUAAAAACAUUUCGAAUCCCAUAUCGUCAUAUUGCAUCACUGAUCGGACCAGGUAGGCCGCUAUAGGUC
rnacentral:lncRNA from 1 species